rnacentral:lncRNA from 1 species
CUGACCUGGGGUCCCUGCUUCUCCAGGUGCUCCCGGAUUUUGCUCUCUAGCCUCCGGUUCUCGGUCUCCAGGCUCCUCACUCUGUCCAGUUUUCCUGACUCUGAUUCUGCGUGGGACAACCAGUGAAAAUUGCAGGUGAAGAGAAGAAAUGCGUAUUUAUUCCUCCACUGGGAAAAAAAAUACCAUCCAAAGCUACAUGACUUGAGAGACAAGGUCUCACUAUGUUGCCCAGGCUGGCCUCGAACUCCCGGGCUUCAGCAGUCCUCCCGCCUCACCCUCCGAUGUAGCUAGGACUACAGGACCGCGACCCGGCGCUGCCUAAGAACUGUUUUUAAACGUGAAAGCCACGGCUAUCAUUUGCUUUUUGCUCUGCUCUUCAUCUUCUGGAUAAACCUCGUAACACACUGCUUGUUUUGGGUGGUAGUCUGCUGCCUACGCCCCGUCAGACAAGUGGCCUGAGUCCCCCGCAACCCCUGCAGGUCCGGCCGCCGGCGCCAAGCCUCAAGGCAUCCAAGCCAGGAACGAUCGCGGUCAGCUCUGCCACGGAACAUGUGCAAGACCCGGCAGCAGGUUCCGGGGGAGGCGAAUUGAUUUCACAACGGUCGAGAAGGAGGACCCCGCCCACUUCGUCAUUUCUCGGAAGCCCAGGGACUCGCCGGAAGAGCGGCUCAAAAGCCGGAAAACUGGCAAAUCCGAGUCUCCCGGCGCAUGCGCGGCGCAAUCGGCUUCGCGUGGUUGCAGUAGAGAGGAUCCCUCCGCCAGCCACUGCAUCCGGCGGCCGGAUCUAACUUACCCGCUAGCGUUUUACCCUUGCGCGGCCGUGGCGUAGGGCGGUCUUUUCCCUUGGUCCUCCGCGGCGCCGCCUCUUGUGACGUAAGCCGCAGAAUCCUCUGUCUUAGUUCGGCUCUAUUGCCGCGAGCUUGACUCUUCCUGGGUCUGAGGAAAAGUAAAAGUAAUUUUGUCAUUUCCUGAAACUUCAAGUUAAACCUUUAAGCUGUUCAUUUCCUAAAAGGGUGAAAACGCGGGCACCCCUCGAGCUAGUUCAUCGCCUUUUAACCUGUUGUUGGAUCUUUCCAGAUCACCACACCACAUCACCCAGCCACUCUGCCCAAUGGGAGGGCAGACAGUGUUCCAGUGUAGGAGGAAGGGGUGUAAGGUGCGGGCAGUUUGUGAGGAGGGCACCAACGAGAGCUACUGUGAGAAAGUCUGCAUGGUCAAAAAGUGGAUUACCAAGAACAAAGCAUCAUAAUGUUGUCCAGUGGACCCCAGGUUGAAAAGUCAGGUUCUGGAAUUGGCUGUCUGGAUUAAAAUACUGGUUCCAUCACUGAGAAGCUGUGUGACCUUGCGAAAAUUACUUAAUCUCUUUGUGUUUCAGUUUUCUGAUCUGUAAAAUGAAGUCAAUAAUGCCCCUUUUCUGAGGCCUCCCUUGGCCAGAUAUGAUUAAAUAUUUAUCAAACUAAGGACUCAGCUUACUUGGAGUGAAAACUCUUCAGGGCCUCUCAGAGAUACCUAAGAUAAGUACCUUAUUUUAGUAGCUCUCAAAUAAAGCUUCUUUUAUGCUCUGUCUUUUUCAUAUAUAAAAUAAGGUCUAAUUAGAAAGUUUUAUAAUGGAGGCAGUCAAUUCCCCAAUUCCUUAUUUGUUUGAAUUAACUUUUAAAAAAUUGGGGUGUUCACUCUGGCGUUGGCUCAAUCCAGACUCUGUAAUCAGCCAACAAUCUGUGCUUCACAAAGGCUGGCGUCCUAACUGCCAGCUUCUGCCAUCCGCACCUUUUCCGUGGGGUAAUACAUUUUAAUUGGUACUUCUCUGAGAGCCCUACACAUCUCCAUCUGGCCAAAUAAACAUACUUUUACUAUUCAGCCUCAACAUCUUGGCAGUUAACAAGAGGACAGACUUGCCACAAUGGGUAAUCUUUAAGAUGCAUAAAAUCCUAAAAUUAAAGGACCAGGUACAGGUGGUAUAAUCAAUGGCUGCCUAGAAGAUGGCUCAUCUACAAAGUGGCUUUGUGUUCCACAGUCUUUUUAACACUGCUCUUGUGAUCCUAAAUGCAGUUCCUGAGCCGAGUCAGCAUUGAGAGCUCUCUCCUCUCAAAGGGCACAUUAGUGAUGAAAUAUUUCACUUCCAAUGACAGCAUAACUUUUUGGAUAUAGGCUUAUUAGCAACGUGUUUCCACUGGUUGGAUUGAGCAAGUGUAACCAGAAGGCAGAAUGGUGAAAUGGUUAAGAGCAUGGGUUCUAGAGUCAGGCUGCGUUCAAAUUCUGCUGCUGUUAAUUUAUCUUUGUGACCUUGGGCAGUUACCAUACCUCUCUGUGCCUCAGUUUCCUCAUCAGUAAAGCAGAGAUAAUGUCAGUAUUUUCCUCAUAAGAGUAUUGCAAGGACUGAUUAAAUGAGAUAAGGUGUCUGAUAUGUUUAGCACAGGGCAUGACUUGUAUUUGCUAACAAUUAUUUUUAGGCAAGGUCAGUAGACCAAAUAACUUGAGCAGCAGAAAGGAAGUGGAAGGCGAAUAACCAGCUAUGAGGUUAUUUCUCAGAUAAUUUCUUCCUAUUUCAAUGCUUCACUUUUUACAGUUUAAUCAUCAAGCAACAGUGUUAGGGAUUACGUGAGAUAAUAUGGUCUGUGUGCUGAUUCACUCAUUUAGUGUGGUCUCAUUUCCUUAAAGAACACAUCUUGAGAGAACACUUUUUUUCUCUCUAACCCUCAGGGUCAUCUGGAUGAAAUGAAUACUUUUAGGGCAAAAUGGCUGAUACUGCUUCCUUGAUAACCACAUAUAGAAAACUGACAACUGUUUAGAACAAAGCCAAAGAUGAAACCAAAUAUAAAACCACUGAUGAAAACUAAGUGAAAAAUAUAAGCAAAAUAGAAGAAAAAUAAGGUCGUUAUUUCAAGAAAACGAAAGACAGUCAAUGCUGUUCUUUGUAUUCACAUACAAUUUGGUUCACACCAAAAUGUGAGUUGUUCUCUAUGAGAUGUUAUUAAAUGUUCCUAAGAAGACUCGCUUUAGAAAAAAACAGUAUUCCUAAGGCAUGUCCAAUCUGUCUCUUUUCUUAAUUGCUAUAGUUCUACUUUAUUAUUAUAAUGUAUUCAGCAUUAAAAUUCAUUAUUUCCCAAUAAGCUUGACUUUAUCUUAUAAUGAAAUACAACUGUCUUCUUGGUGAUUUUUAUAGGAGAUAUUAUGGAAAUAUUUUAUUAACAGAAGUAAAUAAAGUGUCAUAUCAUUUGGCUUUUCAGCCGUGUUAUAACAUUUGCAUUUUGUUUUUUCUGCCUUUACCCUCCCUGCUUCUAGCUGCAUAAAAUAAUGCAUUUUAAAAAUAAAAAUACAUUAUUUUUCAACAUAUGUGUGACAAUAAAAAGAUCACUGGGUCAGGGGUCAGACGAUCUGAGUUCUGCCCUUUCAUUUUCUUAUCUGUAAAAAUGAUUCCUAAGAUUCCUUCUAUUACUAACAUUUUAUAAUCUACAUUCAAAUUUUAUGUGAAAGUUUAGUGCAUCCGAGAUAACUAUUUUCAAAUAAGAAUCUCUUUUGAUGCUAACAUCUAUGCAUCAAAUUCUUCAUUCUCAAGUUGUAAGUUGCUCUUUACAUAAUUUCACCUAUGUACAUAUAUUCUAUAGAAAAAAGAGACAUUCCAGUAUCUUAACAAUGUCAAAAAGGAUAUACUGACACUAACAUUAACUGGAGAUUGGAAGACUAGACAAAUCAAGGCUAGAACUACAUAAGGGAAGCUAUUCUCCCAAAUACGCUGUUUUUGCUGUUGUUUAACCAAAGAUAUCUUCCCUUUCAUUCUUCUUUUUUAAAGCUAAGGAUAUUUAAGACAUUAAUAUGUUUGGCUAACUGAUUAAUA